rnacentral:lncRNA from 1 species
CUCAUUAUGCUGUUCACCUGUUAUAAUGAAUAAUUCUCUGUAUUAAAUUUUACCACUUUAAACUUUUGAGUGGUUUAUGCUUCCUGAUUGGACUCUGACUAAUAUGUUAGGAAGGGUCCCAGGAGGUAAACCCACACAGAUGGGAUUUGGGCAUAGGUUUGGUUUCCCAGGGGGCAGUGCUGAGCUCUUUGCCAGUGGGAAAUGGGGUGCUGGUGAUUUCCAGUAGGUGACCUCACAGUGACUCAAGCUACCACUUACUGUUGAUUGUGACGAAAUGCCAGCUGAGGCACAUGCCUUGGGAGCUAAGUGGUUGCUGCCCUUGACCACUGUGAAGACUGGUGUGGGAAGGGUCGCUUUGGAUGCACUUGAGCAGGGGUCCCCAACCCCUGAGCCAUGGAGCCGCAAGGAGCCACACAGCAGGAGGUGAGCGGUGUCGAGUGAGGGAGUGAGGGAAGCUUCGUCUGUAUUUAGAGCCACUCCCCUUUGCUCACAUUCCCGCCUGAGCUCCACCUUCUCAGAUGAGCAGCAGCAUUAGAUGCUCAUAGGAGAACGCACCCUGUUGUGAACCGUGCAUGUGAGGGAUCGAGGUUGCGCUGUCCUUAUGAGAAUCUAAUACCUAUUGAUCUGUCACUUUCUCCCAUCACGCUCAGGUGGGACCAUCCAGUUGCAGGAAAACAAGCUUAACACGCCCACUAAUUCUACAUUAUGGUGAGUUCUAUAAUUAUUUUAUUAUAUAUUACAGUGUAAUAAUGGAAAUAAAGUGCCUAAUAAAUGCAAAUGUGCUUACAUCUUUUGGCCCAGCUCCUACCUCCCGGCAGCCUCUCCAGGCCCAGAACUUUCUCCAGUCAGCCUCUACAGACCAAGCUCAUGACUCACAAUGGCCUAUUUAGGCCCAUACCCUACGUCACGGCAGCCUCCGCAGAUGAGGCUACUGCCUCACAACAGCCUCCACAGGCACAGCUCCAUCGUUACAAUGGCCUCUUUAGACCCAGCUCCUGCCUCCCAGCCUUCUCUCCAGGCCCUGAACUUUCUCAAGUCGACCUCACCAGGCCCAGCUCAUGCUUCUUUGCAGCCUCUCCAGGCCCAGCUCCUGCAUCUUGGUGGCCCCUCCAGGCCCAGCCUCUGCCUCCCGUCGGCCUCUGCAGUCCCAACGUCUGCCUCACAGCAGAUUCUUCACGCCCAGCAUCUACCUCACUGUGGACCCCCCAAGCCAAGCUCCCAACCUUUCAGCAGCUUCUACACACCCAGCUCCUGCCACCCAGUGGCCUCUUUAGGCCAAGCUCAUGCUUCACAAGGGCCUUUCCAGGCCCAACUUUUGUCUCAUGGCAACCUUCCCUGGCCAGAUUCCUGCCUGUCUCCCAGCAGCCUAGACAGGCCCAGGUCUUGCCUCACACUGGCCUCUCUACAUCCAGCUUAUGCCUCACGGUGGCCUCUCCAGGCCCAACUCCUGUCCCAGGACGUCAUCUCCGGGCCCAAAACUUACUCAAGUUAGACUCUCUAGUCCCAACUGCUGCCUCCUGGUGGCCUAUGAAGGCCCAAAAUCUCCUCAAGUUGACCUGUCCAGGCCCAGCUCCUGCCUCCUGUCAGCGUCUACAGGCCCAACCUCUGCCUCAUGGGGGCUUCUCCAGGCCCACCUCUUCCUCUUGGCUGGGUCUACAGGCACAACUGCUGCCUCACAACAGCCUUUUUUGGCCCAGUUCCUGUCCAGCUCAUGGCGGCCAAUGUAGGCCCAAAACUUCCUCAAGUCAAACUCUCCAGGCCCACCUUCUGCUUCCCGGUGGCAUCAACAGGCCCAGCUUUGACUUGAGAACAGCCUCUGCAGGCCCUGCUCUUGCCUCCCAGGGGCUUUUUCCAGGCCCAGCUCUUGCCUCAUGGCAGCUGCCCCAGGCCAAAUUUCUGCCUGCCUGCCAGCAGCCUCAACAGGCACAGCUCCUCCCUCACAGUGGCCCAUUUAGGCCCAACUCAUGACUGUGAGGCCAUUUCCAGGCCUAGUGCCUGCCUCGUGGCUGACUCUUGAAGCCCAAAACUUCCUCAAAUCAGGCUUUUGCCCAACUUCUGUCUACUGUCGGACUCUACAGGUCAGCCUCUGCCUCACAGUGGACCCUCCAGACCCAGAUGGUGUCUCACUGUGGCAUCCUCAGGCGAAGCUCCUGCCUUUCGGCAGCCUCUCCAGGCCCAGCUCCUCCUGCCUCCCAGUGGCCUCUUUCGGCCCAGCCCAGCUCAUGCCUCCCGGCGGCCUUCCCAAGCCCCGCUUUUGACUUUCGGUGGCCUCUGCAGGCCUCGACAAGGCCCAGCCUCCUGCCUCCCGAAGGCCUGCACAGGCCCAGCCUCUGCCUCACAGCGGACUCUCCACGCCCAGCUAGCUGUUGCUUCACUGCGGCCUCCCGAGUCCAAAGCUCCUGCCUCUCGGCCGCUUCGGCAGGCCCAGCUCCCGCCUGCCAGUGGCCUCUUCAGGCCCAUGGGGCUCAUUCCUGACAACGGCCUUUCCAGGCCCAGUUUUUCCCUUCCGGCGGCCUCUCCGGGCCCAGAACCUCCUCAAGUCGGCCUCUCCAGACCCACUUGCACCCUCCGGGCGUUCUCUCCGGGCCCAGCUCUUCUUCCUGGUUGGGUCUCCAGGCCCGAUUCCUGCCUCUCAACAACCUCUUUGGACUCAGUGCCUACCCAUCUCCUGGCGGCCUUGGUCGGCCCACAGCUUCCUCAAGCCAAGCUCCCCAGGCCCAGGUCAGGCCUCACGGUGGCCUCUCCAGGAUGAGCUCCUGCCCUCCGAUGGCAUCUCCAGGCCCCAAAUGGUCUCCGGUCGGUGGGCUCCUCCACGCCAAGGUUGGGCCUCCCGGCGACCGCCGCAGGCCCAAGUUGUCCUGAAGUCGGGCUCUCCCGGCCCUGCCUCCCAGCAAGUAAGCAAGCUCUUUUGGCUCAACUCCUGCCCAGCUCCCAACCGCCUUUGUAGGCCCCGAACUUUCUCCAGCCAAGCUCUGAGGGCCCACCUCCUGCCUCCUG